GGCUGCAGAGGCCCAAGCAGACAGGAGCGUCUGUGAAGAGACCGGUGUGGAAUCUUCCUGGGAAAGAGCUGCUGAGAGCUCCCGCAGAGGCAUCUAAAAGUCUCCAGGUACUGGCCUAAACAGUCGUGGAUUCUGGGAACAGCAGAGCUUCACAGUGCAGACAAGCCCUUGGGUGAGGCCAAUUAUCUAUGAUGGCGAGGCUGUUCUGGUCCUCCUGAGAACCAGAUGUUCUCUCAAGCAACAGAGCCUUCCUAGGAACACCUUGCAGAACAAGACCUGAGACAGUGAUGGACCAGACUGCACCUUGACUGGCUCUGCUGAGUUCUUCACGCCUAGCCUCUUCCUGGUUCUUUUUUAAGGCUGCCAGCCGAAGGUGUGGCCCAGAUUCAAGGUGGAUCGUCCCACCUCAAGAGAUCUGGAUUAAAGCCUUCAUCCAGCAGCUGGUGGAAAUAGAAGCAGACACCCACAACUAACCACUGAACUGAACUGGAAUCCAGAUGCAGAGAAGGACGAGUAAAGAGCAAAGGGGUCCAGAUCAGGCCGGUGAAACCCACAGAAACAGCUGACCUGAACAUCGGGGAACUGUUGCUCCCCAGACUGGGAUACUAGCAUUGGACUGAUCCAGACCCCAGGAACAUGGGUUUCAGUGAGAAAACCUCGGAAAUCUACGGGACCUCCUGUAGUAGUUCAGUACUUAUCCCUAGCAUAGGUGUGGACUUUGGGAGCCCAUUCCACAUAGAGGAAUACACCCUGAGCCAAGACACACGGGGGUGGGCCUAGGCCCUAUCCCAAAGGAUAUGAUUGACUCUGAUGACACCCUAUGAAAGGCCUCACCUCCAGGGGGAUCAGAAAGGAUAUGUGAUAAGGGAGGGUUUUAGUUGGGGGGGGUGGUAAGGCAGGAGGGAGGGAGAAGGGAACUGGGAUUUUCAUGUAAGACAAUCUUGUUUCUAAUUCAAAUAAAAAAAUCUGCAAAAAAAAAUAGGUAUUCUGCAUGGGUGGACAAUGCUUCUUUUGAGAGACAUAACGGGAAAUCUCAGUGACAAGAACAGG
rnacentral:lncRNA from 1 species